CAAGCAGUCACACUGUGGUUAUUAGGGCAAUCAGCAGGUUCUCCACGCCACGCCCUUUCCCUGCCAAGCCCUAGCCUGUGAGUCAGUGACCUGGCAGACAGAUGCACUCUGCUUUCUCACUUGCCAUGGUCUAGCAUCUGCCAAUAUGCAGCCCAGAGUUACACCAUCUAGUGAGCAAGAGGACAGAAAAGCCUCAUUAGCGUGUGUGCACAUGUACACACACACAGCCUCUUACACCAAGCAUUCCGAGUUCCAUAUAGCCAAUGGCAAGAGAAUCCCUCAGUUUUUCCUCUCCCACAGAAGAACUGAGGGAUCAAGCCCCGAGGAAUGAACGCUUCAGUGGGUGUCUAAGACUCAUGAGUCGACCGAACGCUGUACAGACCCGAAAAGAGGCUCAAAGGCACAGCGGUGGAAAAAGUUAAUUCUCUCCCUUCUUCCAAGGAAGCACUGUACUGGGAAGCCAGUUUUGACUUCAUACGCAAUGGGGCAGGUGGAUUCUGUGUGAGCCCUAGAAAGCCCUAGGUGGCCUGCAGGUCAUAGAAUCUACUUGCUUCCCAUGCUCCAGGAUCAAAAGGUUGUGAUGUCACACCAGGCCUCGGGAACUCUACAGAGACCAGACCGAGAGUGGGAGGAAGAGCCUUUCCUCACCAGGUGAUGUAUGUGGUCAACACCAAAGACCUGGUCUGGAAGAGGCCCUGAGGGAGUGGAGAUGGUCUUACAGUCUGAGAUGAGGGUACCGGCUCAGACAACCAGGUCUGUUAUGUCCCAGUCUCGCCAGUGUCACAGGGGGUCAGGACAUGCUCCUGUCCACAGCUCCUGGGCAUCAUGAUCGCAGGCAUGUUCCAUCUUGAGGUCUAUCUGAACACCUACAGCAUCUAGCUGCGGCAUAAGCAUCACAACACUGAUAGACAGCCUUGGGAGGGCAAGCUUUUUCAUCAGGCUGACUCACAACAGACAAAACUGUACUGUUCUUGGCAGGAUGCCCUCAGUCCUGACUAAGCACUGGGGAAGCCGCACCUCCAGUGGGCUGGGCCAUUGGCAGCAGGGUCUGGGAAACAGGAAAAGUUUGUACGGUUUGGUCAUUUAAGGCCAGCCAGCUUCUUGCCACUUGAGGGCACAGUAAAGGACGCUCACUAUUUGCUACUAGGAACCCUGACUGGAAUGAGGGUGGGAGGGUACCCCUUGUGUUACUGGGGUAGACCGCAUUUGUCAUCAAGGAUGAGUGCUAAACUGUACAUUAUCAGCAGAGGGCGCUGGAGGAACACUGGUCAGGAAAGGAUAAGCUAUUGGCCUAGGGCACUGCAAGCAUUUGUCUGUAAAAACCUUUCAAAACUAGGAGGUGCCUUAGUAUGACUGAGUCACACACCUCCAGGGAGGUCUGACAACCCUAUCAAGAUGACCAG
rnacentral:lncRNA from 1 species